UGGGGAAUAUUGGGCAAUGGGGGAAACCCUGACCCAGCGACGUCGCGUGAGGGAAGAAGGUCUUCGGAUUGUAAACCUUUGUCAACAGGGAAGAAGCAAGUGACGGUACCUGAAGAGGAAGCCACGGCUAACUACGUGCCAGCAGCCGCGGUAAUACGUAGGUGGCGAGCGUUAUCCGGAAUUACUGGGUGUAAAGGGUGUGUAGGCGGGGAUGCAAGUCAGAUGUGAAAACCAUGGGCUCAACCCAUGAUGUGCAUUUGAAACUGCGUUUCUUGAGUGUGGGAGAGGUAAGCGGAAUUCCUAGUGUAGCGGUGAAAUGCGUAGAUAUUAGGAGGAACACCAGUGGCGAAGGCGGCUUACUGGACCACAACUGACGCUGAGACACGAAAGCGUGGGGAGCAAACA
rnacentral:rRNA from 1 species